rnacentral:lncRNA from 1 species
CCCGUGCUCAAAAUAUUGUGAUUUUCGAGCACAGGUUUGUCGGUAAAAAAAAAUAAAAGGAUUCAAGUGGAGUUUUCUCGAACGUAUCAAUAAGCUAGACCCAUACUUCGAGUUGUUUCAUGCCAUAAAUAAACUUAGACACUCAAGAAAUCUGUUGGACAGGCGGAUUCACAUCUCUUACAACCAACACAGUCCUCUUUUCGUGGAGCAGAAGCAAUUUGUUUAGCCGUACAACCAUCCCAAAGUAUCAUUUCUAAUACAUCGGUGGGGCAGGCUCGGACAUAUUGAGUACAUCCUAUACACGUAUCAUAAAUCUUUACUGAAUGUGACAUUGGGUCUAUACGUUUUUGAAUGUUAGAAAUUUUCGAUCUAGUAAACUGACAUUGGGUCUAUACAUUUUUGAAUGUU